UUGUCAUGCUUCAAUUUUUAUAUAUACACUAACUACUCGUAGACAUGGGAGGGAGAAGAACAGAACACUGAUCAUGAAGAAAACAACAACACAAGCUUUCCUUCUUCUAUGUUUGCUAUGUCUGUCCUUUCAGGUUCGUGUCAACCAAGCUGGACGUGAGAUAUGCGUAAGUCCCUCCCCACCCUGUGGAGCUCCUCCUAAGAGAAGUGAAGAGUCGCCGGGACAUACUUAUAAAAAACCUUGUAAACCAAUUCCAAGACCACCUCCUCCUCGGGAUUGCUAGCGACGUUGAGCUUUCGACAUAAGCCCACCACAGAUAUAACAUCAAUGUUUCGUUUAGUAACUAUAUCUUACAAGACUAAUUUAUAUGCACGGUGUGCAAACGAUAUCACUUAAUUAUGCUAUUGUAAUUUCUUUCAAAGACUCAUGUAUAGUACUGGUCCCAAAAAAAAUAUUAAUUAAUAAGAGAGAUGAUAAUAACAAUGUUAAAUA